AAAUCGGUUCGGCGCGGAGUUGAGGCUUACGGCCACCAUCAGGCGCAACGGGGUAUCAUUUGGAGAGCACUGGGAGUGGCAGCUCGUCCAGAAGGAGCUGGUCGUUGAGUACGAGUUUAACACGAAGAGAAGUGACCCCUUAUUGAGUUUGCGAUGUACCGUAGGUGAAUUGCGGCCACAGAUUCGCACCAAGUAGACCGUGCGGCCGAUUGGAGGGCGAGAGUCGACAAUCACUGCCGGGAACGGCACGAAGCAAAAACCCCUGAAAGGGGUUUUUGUUUUUGAUUUCCAGUUUCAUCAUUCCGCUCGCUGCAGCAAGUCGACCGGGAAUCACGAACGACACGACGCGCCAAGGCCUCUCGGACGGCCGGUAGUCGAUUGAGGAAGCAUCGCCGGAGAAUUGCCCAUCGGCGAAUGACAGCAGCGAGAAUCGGUGAGGAGUCGAGGACCAGUCGGAACGCCCCGGUCGGAGCGAAUCCGGAAUCGCGGAUUGAACGCGGGUGCGGGUGCGAUCGAAGGAAGGCACCGAGGAAUGAGGUGCAGAGGCGUGGCGGCUGGUAGGAAGGGGCGCCCCAUGAAGUAGUAAGUAAGAAAAGAAGAAUACAAGUAGAAGUUUAAGAGAAAAGGUAGUAGGAGAAGGAAUGUAGGAAGUAGAAGAGAGGAAAUGGGUGAGGGAACCCAAAAUAUAUGUAUUAAAUUGA
rnacentral:lncRNA from 1 species